CAACAUCCUUAUAUCAGAGAAAGCAUUUGGCAUUUGGUUUUGAUGGGAGAAGUGUGAAAUAAUUUGUGGCCAUCUUUAAUUCAUUGCUGUCCACCCUUUGGUCACAAGUUUACAUUCCUCCCACAUCAAAAAUGUAUUCACAUCCUCCUAAGAAAGUCUCAUCUUAAUAGGCUAUCUCUUGAGAUUCAGGGUCUAUAAAUAAAGUUUGUGUAGAGGUGAAUGUACUUAGAUGUUUUUCCACUCAGUCUGAAUGAAUACCAGUGCACUUAAGAGACAAAUUACAUGUACCCUCUACUCACCUAUCAACAUAAAUAGCAAGAGAGGCAUACAUUUAACUGCAGUAGGCACAGUCAUUGAAAAAAGAAUGAGAGUAAAAGGAACAUAGCAGUCACUGUUCACUAGUAAUUCUAAAAUUAAGUUGAACAUACAUUGCUAGUUUCUUGAUUUAGGUUUCAGUCCUGCUUUUUGAGAAGAAAUAUUCUGUGGCUCUUUCUUCUGCCCUCUAUUCUCCUGGUUUAACCCUGCAUCAGUCUUUCUUUUUUUAUAGAAAAUAGAUUCAGAAUUAUGCUUCUAGACAAAUAGUGACCACAUUACAUUCCUUCCUGAAACAUCUAACAAACAGACCACAUAUAUAACACAAUGAUUUAAAGACAUGGAGAAUAACACAACAAAGUACAGUGGUCUGUAAGAGAUGAGAAACAAAUGAGAUGGGCCCCAUCUUACUAUCUUGAGAGAGUUUCCACAUUGUGGUGCAAGGUAGAAGAAUCCAAGAAAAUCCCAAAUAUACCUAUCCAAGUUGAAGAAAUACAGCUGUGAGAAUAGAGAGACCUAGACUACAAGGCAGAUCACCAUAGGAAGGAUUGCCAAACAGAAAACUCCAGGCCUCUGUGGCGUGUCAUCUUUGAGGACCAGCUAGAAUUUAAAAUUUUAUGAUUGAUUGGGAAUUGAGUAGAGUACACAGAUGGUAAUGUGUAGCAUAAAAUGAUUGCCUCAGUAGUGUAGAAUAAUUAUGCCAAGGCAGAACACAGAUCUGGUCUUGACAAAUGUUUAAAGUGAAGAAAAAAAAAAAGAAUUAAACUGUUUAAGUAACAUAAUUGCAUCCCAAAACAAAGCACAAAAAUAUUUACAGGAAUAAGAAUAUAUCAAAUAUAUUCAGUA
rnacentral:lncRNA from 1 species